UACGUAGGGUGCGAGCGUUGUCCGGAAUUAUUGGGCGUAAAGGGCUCGUAGGCGGUUUGUCGCGUCGGGAGUGAAAACCUUGGGCUUAACUCAGGGCUUGCUUUCGAUACGGGCAGACUAGAGGUAUGCAGGGGAGAACGGAAUUCCUGGUGUAGCGGUGAAAUGCGCAGAUAUCAGGAAGAACACCCGUGGCGAAGGCGGCUCUCUGGAACGCAACUGACGCUGAGACGCGAAAGCGUGGGGAGCAAACAGG
rnacentral:rRNA from 1 species